GUAAUUACGAUAAACUUAAAAGAAAUCGAAAGCAUGUUUGGGAUCAACUAAAUUCAUGGUACAAACCAAGUAACUUUUCUAAGUUUUCUUCUCUUGUCAUGAGUUUAGGUUGUUGUGGAAACUCAAUGGAAGGUUCUACAUAUGGAAGUUCCUUCUUGUUUGUCUUUGCACCUCAAGGAGAUUAAAAUUUUGAACUUUAAGGGAGACAUGCGAAUGUUUGAAAUGAUUAGUUAUUUCUUGGAUAAUGCUAUGGUCUUGGAAAAGCUCAUGAUAGGAAUGAAAUCCCUGUCCGAGACACAACAAUCGAUUGUCUUCAACCAAUUACUGCAGUUACCUAAGAGUUCAAAGAAAUGUCAAGUUGUGAUUUUCUAGUACUGUUUUAUGUUAUGGCUAGAACUGAUCAGUGUCUGGUUUGGUUUUGUAUAGAUGUGUUGUUUGAAAUAUACAUUUGGUGUUAAUAUCCUAUACAGUCACUAAUGGCAAUACUGAAUAUCUGAUAGUUGGUUUAUAUAUGUAUUUGUGAAUGUAUAUUUAUGGGUAUAUAUAUGUAUUGUAGCCAAAAAUAGCCUUUGAAAUUGAUAUGUAGCCCAUGAUUGGAAAAAUAGAAACAUAUUUUAAUUUGUAAGAAACAAUCGUAUGAUAUACCUUACACAACAAGCUCUGAUAGGAAGAACAUCAGAUUGAUUUGGAACUAUUUGAGAAGAAGAAAAAGGGGAGCUCUCUAGUUAUGGUGAUUUGUACAUUCUUACCAACAACAAAGAAGGCUUCCAUUGUUCCUGUUAUAGGCUAGCAUUGGUUCAACACAGGCCAUUGAAGAUGAAGGUUUGAGAACUUGAGAUUUUAGCCUGCUAGAAUGCUGGAAUUUAGCUUCCUUGAGACUGAAAUGAUGUUUAAGAUCCCUUGAUUUGACAAUGGAACUCACACCAUUGACUUCAAUGCUUGCGCCUUACAGGUCAGUCAGUGUUGAGAAUAUCCAACUCUAAACUCGUCUCUCUGGUGCAUUCCUCUGUCAAAAUAUCAUCUGAAAGUUUCAGUGUUGCGUGAAAGAAAUUUGGUGAAAUUAUCAUGAAAUUAUGAGUGAGGUACUUUUACUAAAAAAAAGAGUAAAUUAAUCCUGUAGUAUGAAGAUUAAAGAGCAAAAUAAUCAUCCCAUUAAGAAAAAGGCUUUAAGUAACAGUAAAGACAGCGAUGUCGUGCCCAAGAGAACCUAGCUCGGAUACGAGAUUGAAGAACAAAUAGCUGACAAACGGAAAAAUAAAAUAAAAUAAAAAGAACAAAUAACUAACAGGAAGAAUAAGACGCAAAGGGAUGAUGAUUUAUUCAAUGAAAUGAGUGCAUAUUUAUAGGCUUAGCAAAGACCUAUUUUUAGGCUAAACAAAUUCACUAAAAAUUUGGAAACAGCCAAACAAAUAAGUAAAAAAUAGCUAACAAAUAAAUAGCGAAAAUAUGAGGAUAGACUUGGUCAAUAAAUGACCACGUGUUGACUUGGUCAAUAAAUGACUACGUGUUGAUGUUGAUAUCUUCAACAGUUAGCAUUCGCAUAACCGACUAAAGAAAGUCGAUCAGAAAGAUAAAAAACAAUCCCAUACUCAUAAUAAGGGUGGAUGCCAUGAUUGCAACACAUGAAAGUAAAGCCCGCAACCAAUUAUUGCGGUUACUAAAGAGUUCAAAGAAAUGUCUAAUUGUAGUACUAAAUUAUCAGAUUCUUUUGAAAUGCAAAUUCGGUUUUGAGUCAAACUAUUUUAAUUUAAUAGAGGUUUGGAUUUUGUUUUUGCAUUUUUGUAUUUUUCUUCUCUUAUUUGCUAGCAACUUCAUUUAAUUACUUAAAAUUUUUCAUUUAAAUUAUUAUUCAGUUAAAAUAAUUGAUGUAUGAUUUUUUAUUGUGCUCGCUUGUACGAAUCAACAGCUAUUUUUUUUCCCUCAAUUUUUUCAUAAAAAAUUAAGAUCCCUGUCAAGCAAAUUGUACUCUAAUAUGCUCCUAUAAUAUUCACAAUACAUAAUGACAUAAAUUUUUUGGUAGAAUUAACAUUAAAGUCUAUAUACUAAGAGUUAAAUUCAUUUACAUUUUCAUUUUCAUAAAGUAGGUUGGAUAAAAUUAAAUUUAAUAUUUUUGGUUUUUCAUCGAUUAAAUAAAUGUUUUUAGAUUCAAACUAGAUCGUUCGGUUGAAAAUUUAAUUGAUUGCAGUAUUGGUCUGAAGAUAAAGGUCAAAUCGAUUGACCUAUAAAGUGAAACAAAUAAUCAAGUUUAGAAAAAUCGGUGAAUUUUCUCUAUUCUUUAAAUAAUUUAUUUUUUAUUUUAUGAUUUUUUUUAAACAAAUAACCAAUCUUAAACCUCUCGCCAAUGCAAGUCCGGUCUGCCUUUAAUCGUCGACAAUGUAUGAUAGUAAGACUGUGUAUCGGAGAGACGAUACACAUCUCCUUUGCGUGGCAGAUGGUCCAGAUUUAAUGAAUCGCUAACUAUUGAAGAGAGGAGAAAUUGUUAUCUCUAAUGUUUCCAACCUUGUGAAUUCAGGUAAUGCUUCCUCUUACCUAUUAUCUUACUAUGAACAUGUCUGCAAAUGGUAAGGGUUGGCUGAUGGACAUAGGUAAUCUGCAUAUGUAAUGUAAGUUCUGGAAAUUUGAUCAUCACAGAAGUUAAAAACUUAGGUCCUUUACGCUAUGGCUUUUCUAGUCUAAUAUGAGAAAUGCAUAUCAGGUUAAUUAUGCAUCUUAGAUAGCAAAGGCUUGUUGGAUCGGGAUAUUGAUCUGAAAUAAGAGAUUGGAUUGUCUGACUUUAGAAAUGGUAUGAACCAAUUGAACCGACCGUUGGAGUAAAAAUCUUGAAAAUCUUAUUAGAACUUAUCCUAGGCCAAAGUUGGGUUCAAUCAAGUUUUUGCAAUAACCUAAACUCACAAGAGAAAGAACAAGAGAAAUGUUAUUGUAAUUGUGAAUAUCGAAAAUAAUCAAUUACAAUAAAUACGAGUAUUUAAACAAAAUUUCAUAAUAAAUCGAGAAUAAGUGUCUUUAAAUUGGACACACGCAUUAUGUCUUGUUCAUUUCUUCAGGAGAUGAUGCGGGUUACAUACUUCACAGUUGAUCAAUUAAGAAAAGACAUGAAGGAAUAGUACAGGUAAUAACUUUGAGAUUUACUUUGUACAUGUAUUAUAUUUCACAUUGGGUAAAACUUAAGGGAUCAAUUUUGAUAUUAACCCUAAAUCUUAUAUAAACCUACGAAAGUACGGCAUUAACAAUAAGUUUUUUGUAUCUCUAGCAGCUUCUGCCAAAGGUAAGAACUUUCCUUUUCUUCCUUCCACAGAUCCGAGUCGGUGGCUGUCACCGCUACCCACGGCCGCCAUCAGAGUUCGAAGCCAGACAUAAGCUAGUGAAGCCAAACCACAAAACAAAAGCGAAAAACUCUCCGGUUCCUAUCGCCGGCCGUCGGACAGGUCUGCAGUUUUCUUAUCUUAUGGCGAUGUGUUCCGAAGACAGAAUCAGUAGUUUACCGGAUCAUAUUCUUUGUCAUAUUUUGUCUUUCCUUCCUCUUAAAGAAGCAGUUCGAACCUCUAUUAUUUCAACCAAGUGGAGAUACCUCUUUGCUUCAAUUUCUACCAUUGAAUUUGAUCGUUGUUUACUGAGUGAUUUGACUGACAGAAAUGUUGACAGCUUCAAGAACUUUGUUGAUAGGUUAUUGAAAUUCCCCGAUCAGGUAAGUUUAGAUUGCUUUAGGCUAAGUGAUGGGAUUCCAUGGGAUGGUGAAGAUCAUGAUUUUGAUGUUUUUGGUUGGAUAUGUGCUGCAUUGUGCCGUGGUGUUAAGGAAAUUCAUUUGUACUUAGAUUAUUUUGGGUAUGUUCUCACUGUACCAGCUGUUUUAUUCACUUGCCACUCACUGGUGACACUGAAAUUGAAUGCAGCAUGUCGUAAGAUUUAUGUCCCAUCUGACGUUUGUUUAGGGAAUCUGAAGACUUUGCAGCUUAGAAACUCGGUAGUUGACGGUGAUUCCAUUCAUAGGUUAAUUUCCAAUUGCCAUGUCUUAGAAGAUUUGGCUUUUAUUGAAUGUCAUCUUGUGUAUGCAAGUGCGCUCAAUAUCAAAACUCCUUUUCUUAAGAGAUUUGUUUUAGAUUUAAAUGUGAUAGAAUUCGGAGAUUUCAAUAAUGUGGUGGUGAUUAAUGCUCCAAAUCUUGAAAAAGCCGAUAUUAGCAUCUAUCUGUUUGGUUCCAGUGAUCGUGAAACAAGUGCAACCCAUCUUAUUCAAGGAAUUUGCACUGUGCGGUCUCUGAAUUUAACCAUUGAUGACGUGGUUAGUAAACUUAGUAUUCAUGUGUGAUUUUCCUUUUAACAUCAUAUAAUUUAACAUUAUAUAAUAGCCUCAAGUAUUUUUGUGUGCAGUUUUUCCGAACGUGUCGGCUUCCUAUAUUUCACAACCUUAUUGAAUUUGAAAUAUUUCACAACCUUAUUGAAUUUGAAUAUGGUGGUCUUGGUUCUAAUGGGAGAGGAACUUGGCUUGUGGAGUUUCUACAUUGUGCGCCUAAUCUAAAUACGCUUACCCUCAAUUUUCUGGUAUGAAGUCUUUUUCUGAGUACGUGUAUUCGUUGCGAUUGAUUGUUUUAGUGUCAGUUAUAUUCAUAAUUACGAUAAACUUAAAAGAAAUCGAAAGCAUGUUCGGGAUCAACUAAAUUCAUGGUACAAACCAAGUAACUUUUCUAAGUUUUCUUCUCUUGUCAUGAGUUUAGGUUGUUGUGGAAACUCAAUGGAAGGUUCUACAUAUGGAAGUUCCUUCUUGUUUGUCUUUGCACCUCAAGGAGAUUAAAAUUUUGAACUUUAAGGGAAACAUGCGAAUGUUUGAAAUGAUUAGUUAUUUCUUGGAUAAUGCUAUGGUCUUGGAAAGCUCAUGAUAGGAAUGAAAUCCCUGUCCGAGACACAACAAUCGAUUGUCUUCAACCAAUUAUUGCAGUUAC
rnacentral:lncRNA from 1 species